rnacentral:rRNA from 1 species
AUUGAACGCUGGCGGAAUGCUUUACACAUGCAAGUCGAACGGCAGCACGGGAGCUUGCUCCUGGUGGCGAGUGGCGAACGGGUGAGUAAUAUAUCGGAACGUAUCCAAUAAUGGGGGAUAACUAGUCGAAAGAUUAGCUAAUACCGCAUACGCCCUGAGGGGGAAAGCUGGGGAUCUUCGGACCUAGCGUUAAUGGAGCGGCCGAUAUCUGAUUAGCGAGUAGGUGAGGUAAAAGCUCACCUAGGCGACGAUCAGUAGCUGGUCUGAGAGGACGACCAGACACACUGGAACAGAGACACGGUCUAGACUCCUACGGGAGGAAGCAGUGGGGAAUUUUGGACAAUGAGCGCAAGCCUGAGCCAGCCAUUCCGCGUGAGUGAAGAAGGCCUUCGGGUUGUAAAGCUCUUUCGCAAGGGAAGAAAACUUAACCUCUAACAUAGGUUGAGGCUGACGGUACCUUGAUAAGAAGCACCGGCUAACUACGUGCCAGCCGCCGCAGUAA